rnacentral:rRNA from 1 species
UGAGGAAUAUUGGACAAUGGGCGCAAGCCUGAUCCAGCCAUGCCGCGUGCAGGAAGACGCAUCUAUGGUGUGUAAACUGCUUUUGUACGGGAAGAAACACUCCCUCGUGAGGGAGCUUGACGGUACCGUAAGAAUAAGGAUCGGCUAACUCCGUGCCAGCAGCCGCGGUAAUACGGAGGAUCCAAGCGUUAUCCGGAAUCAUUGGGUUUAAAGGGUCCGUAGGCGGUUUGGUAAGUCAGUGGUGAAAGCCCAUCGCUUAACGAUGGAACGGCCAUUGAUACUGCCAGACUUGAAUUACUAGGAAGUAACUAGAAUAUGUAGUGUAGCGGUGAAAUGCUUAGAUAUUACAUGGAAUACCAAUUGCGAAGGCAGGUUACUACUAGUGGAUUGACGCUGAUGGACGAAAGCGUGGGGAGCGAACAGG